rnacentral:rRNA from 1 species
CCUACGGGAGGCAGCAGUGAGGAAUAUUGGUCAAUGGGCGAGAGCCUGAUCCAGCCAAGUCGCGUGUAGGAUGACGGCCCUACGGGUUGUAAACUUCUUUUGUCAGGGAGCAAUUGGGUCCACGCGUGGGCUUAGCGAGAGUACCUGAAGAAAAAGCAUCGGCUAACUCCGUGCCAGCAGCCGCGGUAAUACGGGGGAUGCGAGCGUUAUCCGGAUUUAUUGGGUUAAAAGGGUGCGUAGGCGGAAUAUCAAGUCAGCGGUAAAAAUUCGGGGCUCAACCCCGUCGUGCCGUUGAAACUGAUGUUCUUGAGGGGGCGAGAGGUAUGCGGAAUGCGUGGUGUAGCGGUGAAAUGCAUAGAUAUCACGCAGAACUCCGAUUGCGAAGGCAGCAUACCGGCGCCCAACUGACGCUGAAGCGCGAAAGCGUGGGGAUCGAACAGGAUUAGAUACCCGAGUAGUC